rnacentral:rRNA from 1 species
AGAGUUUGAUCCUGGCUCAGAGCGAACGUUAGCGGCGCGCCUAACACAUGCAAGUCGCACGAGAGUGGAGCAAUCCAUGAAAGUGGCGCACGGGUGCGUAACACGUAGAUAAUCUGCCCUUCAGCGGGGGAUAACGUUCCGAAAGGAGCGCUAAUACCGCAUACAGCAUUUGGUGGUUCGCCAUCGGAUGGCAAAGGCUGGGAUUCGCAAGAACCAGCCACUGAAGGAGGAGUCUGCGGCCCAUCAGCUAGUUGGUAAGGUAAUGGCUUACCAAGGCAAAGACGGGUAGCUGGUCUGAGAGGAUGAUCAGCCACACUGGUACUGGAACACGGACCAGACUCCUACGGGAGGCAGCAGUGGGGAAUCUUGGUCAAUGGGCGCAAGCCUGAACCAGCGACGCCGCGUGAGUGAUGAAGGCCUUCGGGUUGUAAAGCUCUGUGGGGGGAGACGAAAGAAUCGGUUCUAACAGGACCGAAGUUGACGGUAUCUCCUUAGCAAGCACCGGCUAACUCUGUGCCAGCAGCCGCGGUAAGACAGAGGGUGCAAACGUUGCUCGGAAUCACUGGGCGUAAAGGGCGUGUAGGCGGGUAGAUAAGUCGGGCGUGAAAUCCCUAGGCUCAACCUAGGAACUGCACUCGAAACUGUUUAUCUUGAGUGCCGGAGAGGAAAGCGGAAUUCCUGGUGUAGAGGUGAAAUUCGUAGAUAUCAGGAGGAACACCAGUGGCGAAGGCGGCUUUCUGGACGGUAACUGACGCUGAGACGCGAAAGCGUGGGGAGCAAACAGGAUCAGAUACCCUGGUAGUCCACGCCGUAAACGUUGGGCACUAGGUGUGGGGUCUUAUCAACGGACUCCGUGCCGUAGCUAACGCAUUAAGUGCCCCGCCUGGGGAGUACGGCCGCAAGGCUAAAACUCAAAGGAAUUGACGGGGGCCCGCACAAGCGGCGGAGCAUGUUGCUUAAUUCGAGGCAACGCGAAGAACCUUACCUGGAUUGAACUACGCAGGAAAAGCCACAGAGAUGUGGUGUCCUUCGGGGCCUGUGAUAGGUGGUGCAUGGCUGUCGUCAGCUCGUGUCGUGAGAUGUUGGGUUAAGUCCCGCAACGAGCGCAACCCUUAUCCUAUGUUGCCAGCACGUAAUGGUGGGGACUCGUGGGAGACCGCCGGGGUCAACUCGGAGGAAGGUGGGGACGACGUCAAGUCGUCAUGCCCCUUAUGUCCAGGGCUGCAAACAUGCUACAAUGGCCGGUACAAGGGCUGCUAUACCGCGAGGUGGAGCGAAUCCCAUAAAGCCGGUCUCAGUUCGGAUUGAAGUCUGCAACUCGACUUCAUGAAGCUGGAGUCGCUAGUAAUCCCGGAUCAGCAACGCCGGGGUGAAUACGUUCCCGGGCCUUGUACACACCGCCCGUCACACCACGAAAGUCGGCAACGCCCGAAGCCAGUGGCCUAACCCGCAAGGGGAGGAGCUGUCGAAGGUGGGGUCGGCGAUUGGGGUGAAGUCGUAACAAGGUA